UGCCUACGGGGGGCAGCAGUAGGGAAUCUUCCACAAUGGGCGAAAGCCUGAUGGAGCAACGCCGCGUGGGUGAAGAAGGUCUUCGGGUCGUAAAGCUCUGUUGCGGGGGAAAAAAGGCAGCAUCAGGAAAUGGGUGCUGACUGAUGGUGCCCCGCCAGAAAGUCACGGCUAACUACGUGCCAGCAGCCGCGGUAAUACGUAGGUGGCGAGCGUUAUCCGGAAUGAUUGGGCGUAAAGGGUGCGCAGGCGGUCCUGCAAGUCUGGAGUGAAACGCAUGAGCUCAACUCAUGCAUGGCUUUGGAAAC
rnacentral:rRNA from 1 species